UACGUAGGGCGCAAGCGUUAUCCGGAAUUAUUGGGCGUAAAGAGCUCGUAGGCGGUUUGUCGCGUCUGCCGUGAAAGUCCGGGGCUCAACUCCGGAUCUGCGGUGGGUACGGGCAGACUAGAGUGAUGUAGGGGAGAUUGGAAUUCCUGGUGUAGCGGUGGAAUGCACAGAUAUCAGGAGGAACACCAAUGGCGAAGGCAGAUCUCUGGGCCGUAACUGACGCUGAGGAGGCGAAAGCAUGGGGAGCGAACAGG
rnacentral:rRNA from 1 species